ACGCCGCUGUUCUCAUUUCCCCGAAAGUAUGUCUGCUGUUCGUUGUCAUCAGAAUUCUCGCUGCCGCUGGUCGUAAGCUAAACAGUCGUUAGGAUUUCAUUUCAGCCUGUGCUAAAAUGUUUCAGCAAUUCUUUGAUAACCAAAAUAUCCGUACACAUUAAGUGCUAUCUUUUGUUUCUCGAUUCCCUAAUCGUCAUACCUGGGUUGUACGGCUACGUUGGUCACUUUACACGUGGUUGCAAGAAAGCAGUCCAAUCAAGGAAAUGUUAGAGGCAUCCCAAGAUUUGGAUUUUUCUUCAUUUGAACAGGACUGUCUUGAGGCAACAGCGGAGAAACAAUGUCUGAAUGAGGAGCUUACUCGGUGAAUUCGAAACUAAUUGAAACAUCUAAUCAAUUUGAAAAACUUGACUGAAACAAUCAAAGGACUAUAGUACCAGAAUUUUUUCUAAUUGGAUAUAUUGAAAGCAAUCCAGCCGUCCCGUCCAAUCGUUCGUGAAUGCUAAGGGUGCUAAGGACUGUUUGCUGUCACUAGGUGGCUAAAACUAUGCCCACUUGAUGGCACGAUGUCAAAGGCACUGAGCGAAAAAGUCUGGAGCUGCUGUGUACAGUUUCAAAAUGUCGUCUCUUACUACCUUUAUCGGGUGAACGUUUCGUCACAUGCAGAACAACUUCAGAACAAUUAAAUCUAAUGUGGACAUGGAUUUUUUGCAGUCAUCCAGUGAAAGGUGUGAAUAAAUUGAGAUGUUGCAUGCAGUCUUUGGUGCCAAUGUUGUCCUGGAUUGUGGGAGAGUUCCAUGCUUCAAGUUUUAUGGCAUCAGUCACUGGAUCAUUAUGCAUUGUGGUUGCUGAAAUGUUGGACAUCUAGUAGAACUGCAAGAAGCCUUCUUGAAAUGGUUUAUGUUUACAUAGCAGUGAUGUUGCUGUCAAAUGGGCCAUGUUGUUGCAGCCUGCUGGCGAAGGAUUUUUUGCAUCGAGUUAAACUGUUGCUGUGCCUUGGUCCAGACUGCUGGUGUUGUGCAAUGUGCACAGAAUUUCCAUCCAGAUUUAAUUGUAAUUUGUGUCUAUGCAGUUAACCGUUUGUAUGUUGAGAAUGAACAAAAACAGUAAAAACGGGGAAUUUUUGCGUUGAACAAAUAAUAAACAUGUCUUUGCGAAUGGGAAAUCAGCGAGGAGGAGAUGGUGUGGGGGGGGUAGUUGAUUUUCAUUAACUAGAAGAAGUGGUGGUUUGUUUUAAUAAGGUAGAAAUAAAAUCCUUUGUCUAUCACGUCCACAAAUCCAUAUACCUUUCUAUGUAACCACAUUUAUUCUUCAAACCCCAUAACAUCCACCAACAUCCAUUCAUUAAACCCGCAUUGCCCCACAAAUGUAAAAUAUCUAUAAUAUGUAAAUAUUAUUGUUGA